rnacentral:rRNA from 1 species
AAGGGCACCACAAGAACGCGUGGAGCAUGUGGCUUAAUUUGACUCAACGCGGGAAAUCUUACCAGGUCCGGACAUAUUGAGGAUUGACAGGCGAUAGUAAUAUUAUUAUAUAAUAUUGCAUAAAAAUGAUAGUCCUUUCAUGAUUAUAUGAUAGGUGGUGCAUGGCCGUUCUUAGUUCGUGGAGUGAUUUGUCUGCUUAAUUGCGUUUCAGAUAUAUAAUUAUAUAAUAUAUUAUAUAGUAAUAUAUAAUUUAAUAUUGUGCUGCCUUAUAUAUUAUUUAUAAGGAUUUUAAGUGAACAUAUUUUAUUAUACAUAUAUUAUUAUAUAUAUUUAUUAUAUAUUAAAAUGAAUGCAACGAACGUGACCGUAACCUUUUAUUGCUAUAAAUAAUAUAUAUUAUUUAUAUUAUAAUAGCAUAAAAUUAAAGGGACCGCUGUCUAAAUUUUAGUGUUAAAAUAGAGUAAGAUUACGGCAAUAACAGGUCUGUGAUGCCCUCAGAUGUUCUGGGCUGCACACGUGCUACAAUAAUUACAUUAAUAAGUAUCUAUUAUAAUACAUAAUAUGUUUACAUAUUAUAAUAAACCUAUUUCGAAAGUAAAUGGGUAAUCAUUUAAAAAUCGUGAUUAUUUCAUACAUAUGGUAUAUUAAUAUUGUAUAAUACUAUACAUUUUAUAGUACUAUUACAAAUACCAUUAAUUAAUUUAAGGUGGGGAUAGUGUAUUGUUAAUUAUUACACUUGGCCUUAACUAGGAAUGCCUUGUACUCUUCUUUGGUUUAACAUACCAAGAGGAAUACGUCCCUGCCCUUUGUACACACCGCCCGUCGCUCUUACCGAUGAAUUAUAUUAUAAAUCUAAGGGACAUACAUAUUCUGAAAUUGAAUAUAUUGAAACUUAUAUACAUAAUGUGAUUUAAAGGAAAGAGAAGUCGUAACAAGGCAUCGUAGGUGAACCU